GAUGAACGCUGGCGGCGCGCUUAAGACAUGCAAGUCGAACGGAACUUAGCUGAAUGUUUACAUGAGGCGAAAGUUUAGUGGCGGACGGGUGAGUAACACGUGAGCAACCUGCCUUCGAGAGUGGGACAACAGAGAGAAAUUUCUGCUAAUACCGCAUAUGACCACAGUACCGCAUGGUACAGGGGUGAAAGGAGUAAUCCGCUCGAAGAUGGGCUCGCGGCUGAUUAGCUAGUUGGUGAGGUAACGGCCCACCAAGGCGACGAUCAGUAGCCGAACUGAGAGGUUGAUCGGCCACAUUGGGACUGAGACACGGCCCAGACUCCUACGGGAGGCAGCAGUCGGGAAUAUUGCACAAUGGGGGAAACCCUGAUGCAGCGACGCCGCGUAAAGGAAGAAGGUCUUCGGAUUGUAAACUUUUGUCGACAGGGAAGAAGAAAGUGACAGUACCUGUGGAGGAAGCCCCGGCUAACUACGUGCCAGCAG
rnacentral:rRNA from 1 species